AUGGUAGACAACUUGAUCGAGGAAGACAAGGAGUCGAAGUCAAUAUGGGAAGUAGAUUUGAUCUUUUCUUCAAGUAGGACUAUUUUUUCGUGGGUCUCAUGGACAUCAGCAGAUACUUGUUCCACAAUCAGAAGCAUCAAAUCCAUAGAACACUUGUUAAGAAUCUCGCUCCAUUUCUUUAAAAACUGUUUAUUCUGUUUGCACAAUGUUGGAGGUUUGGGAAUUCUCAGACCGCGUGGGAUUCUUUUGUUCCUCCAAUAUUCGCUCAAUGUAGAACCAUGCAUUUUUAGUCGCAUUUCAUUGUGGUACAAUCUUUCAAGUUGCACUCGGUGUUCAUCAUGUGAUAAAUUAAAAUCCAUGUUCUUCUCUGGAAAAAGGAUCUUAUCCGCAUCUUCUUGUGUAAACACCAAUGUGUUAGCGCGCAUCUUCUUGUGAAAAGUAGUCAUGUUUCUUUUGUUGCAAGCCUCAGGGUGCGUAGGAUAAACUCUCUCAGUCAGCAAACAGUAGAGACAGAGUUAAUUAGUGAACGAACUCCAUCGCACACCUGUAAGUAAUAGGUGCGUAGAAAAAAUAAGACCUGGUGGGUCGUAUAAACAUAUAAGGAUCUCCCGCACACUAGCUUAACUUGCAAAAUAAAUUUUUAAUCACACAACGUUUCGGUCACACGACCUUCAUCAGGAGUAUACAAAUGUUCAAAUUCAUCUCUUUUAAGAUAAACACAUGACCAAUUAACAGAGUUCCAUCUGCAAAUAAUUAAACUCAUUGGGAGUAUAUAAUUAGCACCGCAUCAUAAACAGUUGUUAUAGUUACAACAAUCCAGAUCACCUAUGAGGUGUUCUUUUCCACUAUGUAUUCAUGAUGAGUUUGAGUGACUGUGGAACCUGACUGAUUGUUAUAACUGUUUAGAAUUACAAUUUGAUGCUGUUUGAUGACGAUGUGUUGAUUGUGUCUUUUGGAUGAAUUUGUUAACCUAUAGGUGAUCUGGAUUGUUGUAACUAUAACAACUGUUUAUGAUGCGGUGCUAAUUAUAUACUCCCAAUGAGUUUAAUUAUUUGCAGAUGGAACUCUGUUAAUUGGUCAUGUGUUUAUCUUAAAAGAGAUGAAUUUGAACAUUUGUAUACUCCUGAUGAAGGUCGUGUGACCGAAACGUUGUGUGAUUAAAAAUUUAUUUUGCAAGUUAAGCUAGUGUGCGGGAGAUCCUUAUAUGUUUAUACGACCCACCAGGUCUUAUUUUUUCUACGCACCUAUUACUUACAGGUGUGCGAUGGAGUUCGUUCACUAAUUAACUCUGUCUCUACUGUUUGCUGACUGAGAGAGUUUAUCCUACGCACCCUG
ensembl:lncRNA